rfam:Nippostrongylus brasiliensis genome assembly, scaffold: NBR_scaffold0001731
ACAUCGGUAGCACAGUGGUCAGUGCAGUCUGCCGAAAACAGAAAGACGCGGGUUCAAUUCCCGUCCGAUGUC